rnacentral:rRNA from 1 species
UACGUAGGUCCCGAGCGUUGUCCGGAUUUAUUGGGCGUAAAGCGAGCGCAGGUGGUUUAUUAAGUCUGGUGUAAAAGGCAGUGGCUCAACCAUUGUAUGCAUUGGAAACUGGUAGACUUGAGUGCAGGAGAGGAGAGUGGAAUUCCAUGUGUAGCGGUGAAAUGCGUAGAUAUAUGGAGGAAUACCGGUGGCGAAAGCGGCUCUCUGGCCUGCAACUGACACUGAGGCUCGAAAGCGUGGGGAGCAAACAGG